UAGCUUCCCUGGUUGGCAUUGGGUUUGCUUUGUUUCAAUGGUUUUUGGUAUCAAAGGUUAGGGUCUAUGGUGAGUCUGGCAGUGGUUAUAGUGAUAGAUUGAUUGGGGAAGAAGAAGAAGGUGUUGAUAAUCUUGAUGCUUCUCUCAAGUGUGCUGAAAUACAGAAUGCUAUUUCUAUUGGGGCAACCUCCUUCCUGUUUACUGAGUACAAGUAUCUCAGUAUCUUCAUGGGUGUUUUUGGUG
rnacentral:misc_RNA from 1 species